GAGGCCCGGGAAGCUGGCCGGCUCUCCUCCUCACCUGAGAGCGGUGCCUACGUGGUCACCCCCUUCCACUGCACUGACCUGGGGUGAGUAGGCGUGCAGGGGCUGACUGGACUGCCAGG
ensembl:miRNA